UUCCAGGCUUGCUUACAAAGCGCCUUUGGAAGGCCUUGCAUCUUUCUUCCUCCGGGACUCUUUCCCAUUACUGUACAGGUAGGUGAGGGCAGGUUCUUGCCCAAAUUUGAUGAUAAAUAGGAAUGAAGCACAAGAGCAAAAGCCUGGAAGAGCAACUUCCUCUAGGUCCCAGUCAGCCAUGAAGACUCAUUGGCCGCUGCGUUUAUCCCUCUCAUCAGAUGGUGCCAGGCAGUUCAACAGCCUGGUUUCUCAGGAGAAUCUUGAUGCUCAGAUGAAGCAAGCCCACAGUGGUCGAGCAGCCAGCAGCACAGGAUCCCUGGAAAGGGCGUUCUGCUCCUC